rnacentral:rRNA from 1 species
ACAGAGGGUGCGAGCGUUAAUCGGAUUUACUGGGCGUAAAGGGCGUGCAGGCGGUUUCCUAAGUCAGGCGUGAAAGCCACGGGCUAAACCUGGGGAGGACGUUUGAUACUGGGGGACUAGAGUGUGGUAGAGGGGUGUAGAAUUCCGGGUGUAGUGGUGAAAUGCGUAGAUAUCCGGAGGAAUACCAGUGGCGAAGGCGGCACCCUGGGCCAUAACUGACGCUAAGACGCGAAAGCAUGGGUAGCGAACGG